rnacentral:misc_RNA from 1 species
GGAAGGGGAAGAUGUUGGUGUUGUCAAUCAAAAUAGUGAGAUGUAUGUUAAAAUGGGAAUUCAUUUUUUUCCCCUUUGUUUGGUGUCAUGUUUGCAUGGGUCGGGAAAGUUAAAUAGAUGAAUUGAAAAGAAGCAAAAAAUCUUUAUAUUUGUCAUUGGAAUAGUGACGAGAUGUUGAUGGUGUUAUGAUGGGUUUGAUAAAACUCAGAUAUAGGAAUCAAAGUAGGCCCUUGAAUGUUUGUUUGGUAAGCUGAUCUUUUUGAUUUGGCAGGAAACAAUUGUUAGUAU